GAUGAACGCUGGCGGCGUGCCUAAUACAUGCAAGUCGAGCGAACAGACGAGAAGCUUGCUCCUCUGACGUUAGCGGCGGACGGGUGAGUAACACGUGGAUAACAUACCUAUAAGACUGGGAUAACUUCGGGAAACCGGAGCUAAUAACGGAUAAUAUAUUGAACCGCAUGAUUCAAUAGUGAAAGACAGUUUUGCCGUUACUUAUAGAUGGUUCCGCGCCGCAUUAGCUAGUUGGUAAGGUAACGGCUUACCAAGGCAACGAUGCGUAGCCGAGCUGAGAGGGUGAUCAGCCACACUGGAACUGAGACACGGUCCAGACUCCUACGGGAGGCAGCAGUGGGGAAUCUUCGGCAAUGGGCGAAAGCCUGACGGAGCAACGCCGCGUGAGUGAUGAAGGUCUUCGGGUCGUAAAACUCUGUUAUUGGGGAAGAACAGAUGUGGAAGUAACUAUGCACGUCUUGACGGUACCUAAUCAGAAAGCCACGGCUAACUACGUG
rnacentral:rRNA from 1 species